rnacentral:rRNA from 1 species
GCUGGCGGCAGGCCUAACACAUGCAAGUCGAGCGGUAACAUUUCUAGCUUGCUAGAAGAUGACGAGCGGCGGACGGGUGAGUAACGCGUAGAAAUCUACCUAGUAGUGGGGGAUAGCCCAGAGAAAUUUGGAUUAAUACCGCAUACGCCCUACGGGGGAAAGCGGGGGAUCUUCGGACCUCGUGCUAUUAGAUGAGUCUGCGUCGGAUUAGCUUGUUGGUGAGGUAAUGGCUCACCAAGGCGACGAUCCGUAGCUGGUCUGAGAGGAUGACCAGCCACACUGGAACUGAGACACGGUCCAGACUCCUACGGGAGGCAGCAGUGGGGAAUAUUGCACAAUGGGCGCAAGCCUGAUGCAGCCAUGCCGCGUGUGUGAAGAAGGCCUUAGGGUUGUAAAGCACUUUCAGCAGUGAGGAAAGGGGUGUCGUUAAUAGCGCCAUCCUGUGACGUUAACUGCAGAAGAAGGACCGGCUAACUCCGUG